rnacentral:tRNA from 1 species
GGAGAGGUGGCAGAGCGGCUGAAUGCACUGGUCUUGAAAACCAGCAAGGGUUUGUAGCCCUUCGUGGGUUCAAAUCCCACCCUCUCCG